UACGAAGGGGGCGAGCGUUGUUCGGAUUUACUGGGCGUAAAGGGCGCGUAGGCGGCCGAUCAAGUCAGGCGUGAAAGCCCCGGGCUCAACCUGGGAAUGGCGCUUGGGACUGGUUGGCUUGAGUUCGGGAGAGGAGAGUGGAAUUCCCAGUGUAGAGGUGAAAUUCGUAGAUAUUGGGAAGAACACCGGUGGCGAAGGCGGCUAUCUGGACCGACAUUGACGCUGAGGCGCGAAAGCGUGGGGAGCAAACAGG
rnacentral:rRNA from 1 species